CCUACGGGGGGCUGCAGUGGGGAAUAUUGGGCAAUGGAGGAAACUCUGACCCAGCAACGCCGCGUGAAUGAUGAAGGUCUUCGGAUUGUAAAGUUCUUUUCUAAGGGACGAAGAAAGUGACUAUACCUUAGGAAUGAGCCUCGGCUAACUACGUGCCAGCAGCCGCGGUAAUACGUAGGAGGCGGGCUUUAUCCGGAAUGACUGGGCGUAAAGGGUGCGGAGGUGGUUUGGCAAGUUAGUAGCGUAGCUCCAAGGCUCACCCUUGGAACGACUACUAAAACUGUUGGCUUUGAGGGCAGGAGGGGAAACCGGAAUUCUGGGUGAAGCGGUGGAAGGCGAAGAAAGUAGGAGGAACACCAGUGGGGAAGGCGGGUUGCUAGCCUGUAACGGACACUGAGGAACGAAAGCGUGGGGAGCAAACAGGAUUAGAUACCCGAGUAGUC
rnacentral:rRNA from 1 species